UACAGAGGUCCCAAGCGUUGUUCGGAUUCGUUGGGCGUAAAGGGUGCGUAGGCGGCGCGGUAAGUCGGGUGUGAAAUCUCGGAGCUUAACUCCGAAACUGCAUUCGAUACUGCCGUGCUUGAGGACUGGAGAGGAGACUGGAAUUUACGGUGUAGCGGUGAAAUGCGUAGAUAUCGUAAGGAAGACCAGUGGCGAAGGCGGGUCUCUGGACAGUUCCUGACGCUGAGGCACGAAGGCCAGGGGAGCAAACGGG
rnacentral:rRNA from 1 species